GGCAGACGCCAUGGUUCGCUGGCCUUGACCCUAUGGCGAAGCUGUGGAUGGACCCGCCAGGGCGAGCUGAUGCGGGACAGCUGCGCGUGCGCGUCCGAACAGCAGGGACAGACGCGCGCGGCCUCGGCAGCAGCGUGAGAGAACGACGGGGUCCCAGAGUGAAAAGGACGGAUUGACCGCCUAGUCAUCACCGCACCAAAUGUUGCUGAACCUCUGUCGGAGUUUAUCUUCUACAGGGCAGUGGCAGCGUGCGCCUAUUGUUGUGAAGAUCAGAGCAGCUGGCGCGUGCGGGUGUGAGUCAGCGUGACCGGAACUAGAAGGGGUUCCCUCUGUGUGAUGGUUUUGGAAGAAGAGCUGUGUGAGCCUCAUUUGACUCUAGUCAAUGCGGAUGUUGGCUGGGACCUCAAACUGAGGAAGUGAAACAACGGAAGCUGAAGGCCUAUAAUUUGGGAGGAAGGAAGUUCAAAGCCAAAGUAUGGGAAGGUCCUGCCUGUGUUGAGGGCCAAGGAGGGGACUCAGGACUUUGCAUCUACUGGCAAGCAAUUCUCUCACCCUGCUUAAAUUCCCAGGCAGCUCUUUCAAUGGGAGAGAAACGGAUUUGAGGAUCAUGAACUGGCCCUGGUGUGGUAAUAUUGUUUAUAUGGUGGAUCACAUUGAAUCAGCCCUGAAUGCAUGGAGUGAAACCUACUUGGUCAUGGAUGAUCUCUCCUAUGUGUU